ACCUGAGUGACCUUUGCUAGUCCCAGCUCAGCCUGGACUGGCUUAGACAGAGUGAUGGUCAAGGUUCACAUUUUGGCAUCCCCCUCUGGGCCCCU
rnacentral:pre_miRNA from 2 species